rnacentral:rRNA from 1 species
AACGAACGCUGGCGGCAGGCCUAACACAUGCAAGUCGAACGCUCGUAGCAAUACGAGAGUGGCAGACGGGUGAGUAACACGUGGGAACCUUCCCUAUGGUUCGGAAUAGCCCAGGGAAACUUGGGGUAAUACCGGAUAAGCCCUUACGGGGAAAGAUUUAUCGCCAUUGGAUGGGCCCGCGUCGGAUUAGCUAGUUGGUGGGGUAACGGCCUACCAAGGCGACGAUCCGUAGCUGGUCUGAGAGGAUGAUCAGCCACACUGGGACAGAGACACUGCCCAGACUCCUACGGGAGGCAGAAGUGGGGAAUAUUGGACAAUGGGCGCAAGCCUGAUCCAGCCAUGCCGCGUGAGUGACGAAGGCCUUAGGGUUGUAAAGCUCUUUUGGCGGGGAAGAUAAUGACGGUACCCGCAGAAUAAGCUCCGGCUAACUUCGUGCCAGCCGCCGCAGUAACAC